CCUACGGGAUGCAGCAGUGGGGAAUAUUGCACAAUGGGCGCAAGCCUGAUACAGCCAUGCCGCGUGUAUGAAGAAGGCCUUCGGGUUGUAAAGUACUUUCAGCGGGGAGGAAGGUGUUGUGGUUAAUAACCACAGCAAUUGACGUUACCCGCAGAAGAAGCACCGGCUAACUCCGUGCCAGCAGCCGCGGUAAUACGGAGGGUGCAAGCGUUAAUCGGAAUUACUGGGCGUAAAGCGCACGCAGGCGGUCUGUCAAGUCGGAUGUGAAAUCCCCGGCUCAACCUGGGAACUGCAUUCGAAACUGGCGGGCUGGAGUCUUGUAGAGGGGGGUAGAAUUCCAGGUGUAGCGGUGAGAUGCGUAGAGAUCUGGAGGAAUACCGGUGGCGAAGGCGGCCCCCUGGACAAAGACUGACGCUCAGGUGCGAAAGCGUGUGGAGCAAACAGGAUUAGAUACCCCCGUAGUC
rnacentral:rRNA from 1 species